ACGUAUGGGGCGAGCGUUGUUCGGAAUUAUUGGGCGUAAAGGGCGCCUAGGCGGGGGACUAAGUUAGUUGUGAAAGCUCUGGGCUCAACCCAUAAAUUGCAUUUAAGACUGGUUCUCUUGAGUUCGGGAGAGGAGAGCGGAAUUCCAGGUGUAGCGGUGAAAUGCGUAGAUAUCUGGAGGAACACCGGUGGCGAAGGCAGCUCUCUGGGCUAGUACUGACGCUGAAGCGCGAAAGCGUGGGGAGCGAACAG
rnacentral:rRNA from 1 species